UACGUAGGGUGCGAGCGUUAAUCGGAUUUACUGGGCGUAAAGCGUGCGUAGGCGGCUUUUUAAGUCGGAUGUGAAAUCCCCGAGCUUAACUUGGGAAUUGCAUUCGAUACUGGGAAGCUAGAGUCUUGUAGAGGGGGGUAGAAUUCCAGGUGUAGCGGUGAAAUGCGUAGAGAUCUGGAGGAAUACCGAUGGCGAAGGCAGCCAUCUGGCCUAAUACUGACGCUGAGGUACGAAAGCAUGGGGGGCAAACAGG
rnacentral:misc_RNA from 1 species